GUAGGGAAUCUUCCGCAAUGGACGAAAGUCUGACGGAGCAACGCCGCGUGAGUGAGGAAGGCCUUCGGGUCGUAAAGCUCUGUUGUGAGGGAAGAACAAGUACCGGGGUAACUACCGGUACCUUGACGGUACCUCACCAGAAAGCCACGGCUAACUACGUGCCAGCAGCCGCGGUAAUACGUAGGUGGCAAGCGUUGUCCGGAAUUAUUGGGCGUAAAGCGCGCGCAGGCGGCUUCUUAAGUCUGAUGUGAAAUCUCGGGGCUCAACCCCGAGCGGCCAUUGGAAACUGGGAAGCUUGAGUGCAGAAGAGGAGAGUGGAAUUCCACGUGUAGCGGUGAAAUGCGUAGAUAUGUGGAGGAACACCAGUGGCGAAGGCGACUCUCUGGUCUGUAACUGACGCUGAGGCGCGAAAGCGUGGGGAGCAA
rnacentral:rRNA from 1 species